GCCAGUUUCCAGGAAAAAAAAAAUUCAUGGACUACCCGAAGAAUUGUAGACCUGAGCAUGGGCCGGGUAUCCCACUCAUUCAUGGUCAUCCCUGACUGCCCCUAGCCCUUGCUCAGGAGAGAUUUGCUCUCCAAAAUGGUUUACGUGGGCUGAAAUGGCUGGGCAAGGCCAUGUGUAUGCAUAUCUGCAGGCUGUGUAUGUGGAGCGUAAGACCCAGGCUGACCCUGUCUCAGUGCACCAGUACCUGAUGUUGUGGGAGGCAUGAGAAGGAAGUAAGCCACACAUCCUUCGGCUCCUCCAGCUUGAGGUGGUCUUAGUGUCAUUGUGCCUGGAACACACCACACUGCUCCUGCCAGGUUGGGCACUAACAAUUAUCACCCAGCCCAGAACUUUAGAAAGAUAAACGGUGGUAGAAUGGCUGACUUCUGCACUACUGUGCCUAAACCCUACACUCUGAGUUCUUCGCCGCCUUCCAGAAUUUGGUACACCAUUUUAGACUUGAAAGGUGCUUUCUUCUGCCUGAACUGGGUACCCCAAAGUCAAAAAUGCUUUGCCUUUGAAUGGAAGGACCCAGAAGAUGGGACCACUGAUCAGCUGACAGGGACUAGAUUCUCCACCGGUUGGGGGCAAUCUGGUCACUUUGUUGCCCAAUCCUGGCCUGGAGCCACCACAACACGAGUGUCAAGUACUGGCAGAAGCCCAUGGGUGGAGGGAAGACCUCUCCACCUGAGCGUUUGACCCUCCUGAAUGCUAAGGCUACCUUGUUUACAGACAGGAACAGUUCUCUUCAUGAAGGUCAGAGAUGAUUGGGUGCUGCUGUGGUGGACAACACAAAUGUCAUCUGGAAUGGCUGAACGUCUACCCCCAGCACAGCAGCACAAGUGUCUUUGCCAUCUCUUGGAUGCCCUGAUGAAGCCAGCAACUUGUUUGUAGAUACUUUCUCUGGAUGAGUUGAGGCUUUCCCCACCAAGCAAGAAACAGCUACCAUGGCAGCCAAGAAGAUAUUAGAAGAAAUCUUUUGGAGAUCUGGGGUCCCCAAGGUAAUUGGAUCAGACAACGGUCCUGCUUUUACUUCUAAGAGAGGGACUUCCUAGUUUCUUCCUUCCAAUUCCACUGGGCUCUUCCCUCCCUCAAGACUCUUGUGAAGAGAAUGGGAAUCUCCGUGUGUCCCCUCGCUCCAUUCAAGCGGAACCUGAAACACAGUGCACACUCUUGAAUCCAUCCUUACACGUUCAGUAUGGGUCUCAUCCAAUUCAG